rnacentral:rRNA from 1 species
GCCAGACUCCUACGGAGGCAGCAGUGGGGGAUAUUGCACAAUGGGGGAAACCCUGAUGCAGCGACGCCGCGUGUGGGAAGACGGUCCUCUGGAUUGUAAACCACUGUCCCCAGGGACGAAGAUGACGGUACCUGGGGAGGAAGCUCCGGCUAACUACGUGCCAGCAGCCGCGGUAAUACGGAGGAUGCGAGCGUUAUCCGGAUUUAUUGGGUUUAAAGGGUGCGCAGGCGGAAUGUCAAGUCAGCGGUAAAAUUUCGGGGCUCAACCCCGUCGUGCCGUUGAAACUGGCGUUCUUGAGUGAGCGAGAAGUAUGCGGAAUGCGUGGUGUAGCGGUGAAAUGCAUAGAUAUCACGCAGAACUCCGAUUGCGAAGGCAGCAUACCGGCGCUCAACUGACGCUCAUGCACGAAAGCGUGGGUAUCGAACAGGAUUAGAUACCCCGGUAAA